GGGAAUAUUGCACAAUGGGGGGAACCCUGAUGCAGCGACGCCGCGUGGGUGAAGGAGCACCUCGGUGCGUAAAGCCCUAUCGGCAGGGAAGAAACAGACGGUACCUGACUAAGAAGCCCCGGCUAACUACGUGCCAGCAGCCGCGGUAAUACGUAGGGGGCAAGCGUUAUCCGGAAUUACUGGGUGUAAAGGGAGCGUAGACGGUGAUGUAAGUCUGGAGUGAAAGGCGGGGGCCCAACCCCCGGACUGCUCUGGAAACUAUGUGACUGGAGUGCAGGAGAGGUGAGCGGAAUUCCUAGUGUAGCGGUGAAAUGCGUAGAUAUUAGGAGGAACACCAGUGGCGAAGGCGGCUCACUGGACUGUAACUGACGUUGAGGCUCGAAAGCGUGGGGAGCAAACAGG
rnacentral:rRNA from 1 species